rnacentral:rRNA from 1 species
AUUGAACGCUGGCGGCAUGCCUUACACAUGCAAGUCGAACGGCAGCACGGGAGCAAUCCUGGUGGCGAGUGGCGAACGGGUGAGUAAUAUAUCGGAACGUGCCCAGUCGUGGGGGAUAACGCAGCGAAAGCUGUGCUAAUACCGCAUACGAUCUAAGGAUGAAAGCGGGGGAUCGCAAGACCUCGCGCGAUUGGAGCGGCCGAUAUCAGAUUAGCUAGUUGGUGGGGUAAAGGCCCACCAAGGCGACGAUCUGUAGCUGGUCUGAGAGGACGACCAGCCGCACUGGAACUGGGACACGGUCCAGACUCCUACGGGAGGCAGCAGUGGGGAAUUUUGGACAAUGGGGGCAAGCCUGAUCCAGCAAUGCCGCGUGCAGGAUGAAGGCCUUCGGGUUGUAAACUGCUUUUGUACGGAACGAGACGGCCCUUUCUAAUACAGGGGGCUAAUGACGGUACCGUAAGAAUAAGCACCGGCUAACUACGUGCCAGCAGCCGCCGUAACAC